rnacentral:rRNA from 1 species
GAAUCUAGCUUCAGGUCUGGGACAACCACUGGAAACGGUGGCUAAUACCGGAUGUGCCGGAAGGUGAAAGGCUUGCUGCCUGAAGAUGAGCUCGCGUCUGAUUAGCUAGUUGGUGGGGUAAAAGCCUACCAAGGCGACGAUCAGUAGCUGGUCUGAGAGGAUGACCAGCCACACUGGGACUGAGACACGGCCCAGACUCCUACGGGAGGCAGCAGUGGGGAAUUUUCCGCAAUGGGCGAAAGCCUGACGGAGCAAUACCGCGUGAGGGAGGAAGGCUCUUGGGUUGUAAACCUCUUUUCUCAGGGAAGAACACAAUGACGGUACCUGAGGAAUCAGCAUCGGCUAACUCCGUGCCAGCAGCCGCGGUAAUACGGAGGAUGCAAGCGUUAUCCGGAAUGAUUGGGCGUAAAGCGUCCGCAGGUGGCUGUGUAAGUCUGCUGUCAAAGAGCGAAGCUCAACUUCGUAAAGGCAGUGGAAACUACACGGCUAGAGUGCGUUCGGGGCAGAGGGAAUUCCUGGUGUAGCGGUGAAAUGCGUAGAGAUCAGGAAGAACACCGGUGGCGAAGGCGCUCUGCUAGGCCGCAACUGACACUGAGGGACGAAAGCUAGGGGAGCGA